UGGGGAUUUUUGCACAAUGGGGGAAACCCUGCUGCAGCGCCGCCGCGUGAUUUAGAAGGCCUUCGGGUUGUAAAAAUCUUUUCUAUGGGAAGAAAAUGACAGUACCAUAGGAAUAAGGACCGGCUAAUUACGUGCCAGCAGCCGCGGUAAUACGUAAGGUCCGAGCGUUGUCCGGAAUCAUUGGGCGUAAAGGGUACGUAGGCGGGUAAGCAAGUUAGAAGUGAAAUCCUAUAGCUCAACUCUAGUAAGCUUUUAAAACUGCUCAUCUUGAGGUAUGGAAGAGAGAAUGGAAUUCCUUGUGGAGCGGUGGAAUGCGCAGAUAUUAGGAGGAAUACCGGUGGCGGAGGCGGCUUUCUGGCCAUAACCUGACGCUGGGGUACGAAAGCGUGGGUAGCAAACAAG
rnacentral:rRNA from 1 species